rnacentral:rRNA from 1 species
UACGUAGGGUCCGAGCGUUGUCCGGAAUUACUGGGCGUAAAGAGCUCGUAGGUGGUUUGUCGCGUUGUUCGUGAAAACUCACAGCUUAACUGUGGGCGUGCGGGCGAUACGGGCAGACUUGAGUACUGCAGGGGAGACUGGAAUUCCUGGUGUAGCGGUGGAAUGCGCAGAUAUCGGGAGGAACGACCGGUGGCGAAGGCGGG